rnacentral:rRNA from 12 species
AACCAAGGAAUAAAUGAAAACCAACAUUUAUAUAAAAUUAAUAUAUCAUGCCAUUCACGCAACGGUCCUCCACACACAAAGUGACUAUUCAACGCUAACUCCAUGUUUGUUCGUGCAAUGC